rnacentral:hammerhead_ribozyme from 1 species
GCACAGCCUACGAGUCCCAAAUAGGAUGAAACGCGCGUCCUGGAU